rnacentral:lncRNA from 1 species
UGGCUAUUCUUGCUGACAUUAGAAACAUUUAUGGCGUCAGAAUUAGAUAAAUCUUAAGUAUAUAAACCCUGUGCGAUGUUCGUGAAAUUGCUUCACUUUCAUCCUUGUGCUGUGGGUGAGCCAAAUUGCAAUAGUUACUGAAUAAAUACACUGAUCUACAGCUCCGGAGUCCUGAGAUAACUUGAGUGAAUUUUCACCUAACAUGUGUAAACCAAUUAUAUGUAAGAAAAUAGUCCUCUAUACCUCUCCUCAACAACAACAACCAUAAUAAGUCCAAAGUUGACAUUUACAGACUUUAGCAUUCCAUGCUAGGCUUCUCCAUAAAGGUGACUAAACCCACAGUCUCCCAACAACACAGACAUUCACUACAACACAGCCCCUACUACACACCCAUUCAGUCUCCCAACAACACAGACAUUCACUACAACACAGCCCCUAAUACACACCCAUUCAGUCUCACACCUAAUGGCAGAACGAGGCCAAAUUAAAUUACCCUGACAUAAAACACCAACACAGAAUCUUUCAAAACAUAUCUGGCCAGUUUCUGGCGGUUUGAUGGGACUAUGAGUGCUGUGGCUGUGAUAUUGAACCAAUCCAGUUCAGCACAUUCUGUAGUGGUUUGAUGGGACUAUGAGUGCUGUGGCUGUGAUAUUGAACCAAUCCAGUUCAGCACAUUCUGUAGUGGUUUGAUGGGACUAUGAGUGCUGUGGCUGUGAUAUUGAACCAAUCCAGUUCAGCACAUUCUGUAGUGGUUUGAUGGGACUAUGAGUGCUGUGGCUGUGAUAUUGAACCAAUCCAGUUCAGCACAUUCUGUAGUGGUUUGAUGGGACUAUGAGUGCUGUGGCUGUGAUAUUGAACCAAUCCAGUUCAGCACAUUCUGUAGUGGUUUGAUGGGACUAUGAGUGCUGUGGCUGUGAUAUUGAACCAAUCCAGUUCAGCACAUUCUGUAAUCAGCACUUCACUGUUGAGGAUUAGACUGUUAAUAUUGUGUUCCAUUUGUACUGUAUCUCUCUGAAUUCAUUAUCAGAACUAUUUCAGGUCAGUUGGCCUUUAAAUGGUCCAAAAUAUUGUGAUAUACCAACUGAAAACACUGUGCAAUGAAAUGUUAGGGAAUAUUCUCCAGACAAACUUCAAUUCAUCACGAACUUCAAAAUACGUUCAGGAAAAUCAUUGAGAAAAGCCCAUAGAAAGAAAUCAAACAAUUCCUCAAAGUGUCCUUAUGCUGUAUGUAUGUAUGUAUGUAUGAAUGAAUGAAUAAGGCUUGAUAUGAAUAACUCCUCUCACCUGUGAGGAUGCUGACACUUGCAGGUUGGCUGUUGGGUCCAUGUUGGUUGUCAUGGAGACAAUGCCAGUGUAGUCAGUGUGUGGUUCCAGGCCUGUGAUGACUGCACUGCAUGAGUCUGUAGAGAUGGUCUGGGGUUCAGUUCCUUCACUGUGGUAAGAGAUCAGGAUACUGCAUGAGUCUGUAGAGAUGGUCUGGGGUUCAGU